UGGCGAACGGGUGAGUAACGCGUGAGGAACCUGCCUCAAAGAGGGGGACAACAGUUGGAAACGACUGCUAAUACCGCAUAAGCCCACGGGUCGGCAUCGACCUGAGGGAAAAGGAGCAAUCCGCUUUGAGAUGGCCUCGCGUCCGAUUAGCUAGUUGGUGAGGUAACGGCCCACCAAGGCGACGAUCGGUAGCCGGACUGAGAGGUUGAACGGCCACAUUGGGACGGAGACACGGCCCAG
rnacentral:rRNA from 1 species